CGUAGCCGCGGUAAUACAGAGGGUGCAAGCGUUAAUCGGAAUUACUGGGCGUAAAGCGCGCGUAGGUGGUUUGUUAAGUUGGAUGUGAAAUCCCCGGGCUCAACCUGGGAACUGCAUUCAAAACUGACUGACUAGAGUAUGGUAGAGGGUGGUGGAAUUUCCUGUGUAGCGGUGAAAUGCGUAGAUAUAGGAAGGAACACCAGUGGCGAAGGCGACCACCUGGACUAAUACUGACACUGAGGUGCGAAAGCGUGGGGAGCAAACAGGAUUAGAUACCCCUGUAGUCCCUGUCUCUUAUACA
rnacentral:rRNA from 1 species